CCUACGGGGGGCAGCAGUAGGGAAUAUUGCUCAAUGGGGGAACCCCUGAAGCAGCAACGCCGCGUGGAGGAUGAAGGUUUUAGGAUUGUAAACUCCUUUUGUUAGAGAAGAUACUGACGGUAUCUAACGAAUAAGCACCGGCUAACGCCGUGCCAGCAGCCGCGGUAAUACGGAGGGUGCAAGCGUUACUCUGAAUUACUCGGCUUAAAGAGCGCGUAGGCGGGAUAGCAAGUCAGAUGUGAAAUCCUCUGUGUUAACCAUAGAACUGCAGUUGAAACUGGUAUUCUAGAGUAUGGGAGAGGUAUGCGGAAUGCUUGGUGUAGGGGUAAAAUCCGUAGAGAUCAAGAGGAAUACUCAUUGCGAAGGCGACCUGCUAGAACAUAACUGACGCUGAUGCGCGAAAGCGUGGGGAGCAAACAGGAUUAGAUACCCCUGUAGUC
rnacentral:rRNA from 1 species